rnacentral:rRNA from 1 species
GGGCCCGCACAAGCGGUGGAGCAUGUGGUUUAAUUCGACGCAACGCGAAGAACCUUACCUGGGCUUGAACUGCAGUGGACCGGUAUAGAGAUAUGCCUUUUCGCAAGAACUGCUGCAGAGGUGCUGCAUGGCUGUCGUCAGCUCGUGUCGUGAGAUGUUGGGUUAAGUCCCGCAACGAGCGCAACCCUUACCCGUAGUUGCCAGCGCGUCAUGGCGGGAACUCUACGGGGACUGCCCGGGUUAACCGGGAGGAAGGUGGGGAUGAUGUCAAGUCCUCAUGGCCCUUAUGUCCAGGGCUACACACGUGCUACAAUGGGCGAUACAAACCGUUGCAAAGUCGCGAGAUGGAGCUAAUCGGAGAAAGUCGUCCUCAGUUCGGAUUGUAGUCUGCAACUCGACUACAUGAAGGUGGAAUCGCUAGUAAUCGUGUAUCAGAAUGAUACGGUGAAUACGUUCCCGGGCCUU